UACAGAGGCCUCGAGCGUUAGGUGCGGAAAUCACUGGGCUUAAAGCGUGUGUAGGCCGGACCCCUAAGUGCCUUGAUGAAAUCCCACGGCUCACCCGUGGAACGGCUGGGCGAUACUGGGGGUCUUGAGCCACCUAGGGGCUACCGGAACAAAUGGUGGAGCGGUGAAAUGCGUAGAUAUCAUUUGGAACGCCAACGGAGAAAUCAGGUAGCUGGGGGGUGUGCUGACGCCUGAGACACGAAAGCCAGGGGAGCGAACGGG
rnacentral:rRNA from 1 species